GAGUUUGAUCAUGGCUCAGAGCGAACGCUGGCGGCAGGCUUAACACAUGCAAGUCGAGCGGGCGUAGCAAUACGUCAGCGGCAGACGGGUGAGUAACGCGUGGGAACAUACCUUUUGGUUCGGAACAACACAGGGAAACUUGUGCUAAUACCGGAUAAGCCCUUACGGGGAAAGAUUUAUCGCCGAAAGAUUGGCCCGCGUCUGAUUAGCUUGUUGGUGAGGUAACGGCUCACCAAGGCGACGAUCAGUAGCUGGUCUGAGAGGAUGAUCAGCCACAUUGGGACUGAGACACGGCCCAAACUCCUACGGGAGGCAGCAGUGGGGAAUAUUGGACAAUGGGCGCAAGCCUGAUCCAGCCAUGCCGCGUGAGUGAUGAAGGCCCUAGGGUUGUAAAGCUCUUUUGUGCGGGAAGAUAAUGACUGUACCGCAAGAAUAAGCCCCGGCUAACUUCGUGCCAGCCGCCGCGGUAAG
rnacentral:rRNA from 1 species